rnacentral:rRNA from 1 species
GAAUUUUGGACAAUGGGCGAAAGCCUGAUCCAGCAAUGCCGCGUGCAGGAUGAAGGCCUUCGGGUUGUAAACUGCUUUUGUACGGAACGAAAAGCUUCGGGUUAAUACCCUGGAGUCAUGACGGUACCGUAAGAAUCAGCACCGUCUACCUACGUGCCCGACGCAGCGGUAAUACGUGGGGUGCAAGCGUUAAUCGGAAUUACUGGGCGUAAAGCGUGCGGAGGCGGUUUUGUAAGACAGAGGUGAAAUCCCCGGGCUCAACCUGGGAACUGCCUUUGUGACUGCAAGGCUAGAGUACGGCAGAGGGGGGUGCAAUUCCGCGUGUAGCAGUGAAAUGCGUAGAUACGCGGAGGAACACCGAUGCCGAAGGCAACCCCCUGGGCCUGUACUGACGCUCAUGCACGAAAGCGUGGGGAGCAAAC